rnacentral:rRNA from 1 species
UACGUAGGGGGCGAGCGUUGUCCGAAGUUACUGGGCGUAAAGCGCGCGUAGGCGGCCCGUGAAGUCCGGGGUGAAAGGUUCAGCGCUCAACGCGAACAGUGCCCUGGAUACUCUCGGGCUUGAGUGUGGGAGGGGGGAGCGGAAUUCCUGGUGUAGCGGUGAAAUGCGUAGAUAUCAGGAGGAACACCGGUGGCGAAGGCGGCUCCCUGGCCUGACACUGACGCUGAGGCGCGAAAGCGUGGGGAGCGAACGGG